rnacentral:rRNA from 1 species
UGUGAACCCCUUUGACCUCAAAUCGGGUGAGACUACCCGCUGAACUUAAGCAUA